AGCAGCCGCGGUAAUUCCAGCUCCAAUAGCGUAUAUUAAAGUUGUUGCAGUUAAAAAGCUCGUAGUUGAAUUUCGGGAUUAGUACGUUGGUCGUGCCUUAGGUACGUACUGGUGUUACUGGUUCCUACCUUCUGACGAACCAUCAUGUCAUUAAUUUGGUGUGGCGGGGAAUCAGGACUGUUACUUUGAAAAAAUUAGAGUGUUUAAAGCAGGCUCGCGCUUGAAUACAUUAGCAUGGAAUAAUGAAAUAGGACGUUGACCCUAUUUUGUUGGUUUCUAGGGUUGACGUAAUGAUUAAUAGGGAUAGUUGGGGGCAUUAGUAUUCAAUUGUCAGAGGUGAAAUUCUUGGAUUUAUUGAAGACUAACUACUGCGAAAGCAUUUGCCAAGGAUGUUUUCAUUAAUCAAGAACGAAAGUUAGGGGAUCGAAGACGAUCAGAUACCGUCGUAGUCUUAACCAUAAACUAUGCCGACUAGGGAUCGGAUGAUGUUAAUUUUUUAAUGACUCA
rnacentral:rRNA from 1 species